UGGAUCAUACAGGGACUAGGCACAGGGCAGGAGAAGCAGCCAACAUGGGGAAGAUUAUCUUCUAUGAGGACAACAACUUCUCUGGGCACCAUUUUGAGUGCUGUAAUGACUGUGAGGACUUGUUAAGCCGACUCAGCCGCUGCAACUCAAUCAAGGUGGAGAGUGGUUGCUUCAUGAUCUAUGAAAAACCCAAUUACUCUGGUAACCAGUACUACCUGAAGAGAGGAGAGUAUCCGGACUUCCAUCACUGGAUGGGCGUCAACGAGUCUGUCAGCUCCUGUCGUUACAUCCCUACGGAGCCUGGGACGUUCAACAUGCGCCUGUAUGAGCGGAUCGAGUUUGGGGGUCAGGUGAUGGACCUUGUGGAUGACUGUCCCAGUGUCAUGGAUCGCUUCCACGUUAAUGACAUCUUCUCCUGCAACGUGAAAAAUGGCAACUGGCUCUUCUAUGAGCACCCCAACUACAGGGGCAGGAUGUACCUGAUAAGGCCUGGAGAGUAUAAGAGGUUCAGUGAGUGGGGUGGCAGGAAUGCCAGAGUCGGAUCCAUCAAACGCAUCAUGGACUAUUGACCACUUUUGCACAGUAGCUUGGCUCAGGGACAGCACUGAAUGGUAAUAGAGUCUGAUGCCAACACAACCAUGGGAAAGAUCAUAUUUUACGAAGACAGAAACUUCCAAGGGCGCUCU